AGUGAACGCUGGCGGUAGGCCUAACACAUGCAAGUCGAACGGCAGCACAGUAAGAGCUUGCUCUUACGGGUGGCGAGUGGCGGACGGGUGAGGAAUACAUCGGAAUCUACUUUUUCGUGGGGGAUAACGUAGGGAAACUUACGCUAAUACCGCAUACGACCUACGGGUGAAAGCAGGGGAUCUUCGGACCUUGCGCGAUUGAAUGAGCCGAUGUCGGAUUAGCUAGUUGGCGGGGUGAAGGUCCACCAAGGCGACGAUCCGUAGCUGGUCUGAGAGGAUGAUCAGCCACACUGGAACUGAGACACGGUCCAGACUCCUACGGGAGGCAGCAGUGGGGAAUAUUGGACAAUGGGCGCAAGCCUGAUCCAGCCAUACCGCGUGGGUGAAGAAGGCCUUCGGGUUGUAAAGCCCUUUUGUUGGGAAAGAAAAGCAGCAGGUUAAUACCCCGCUGUUCUGACGGUACCCAAAGAAUAAGCACCGGCUAACUUCGUG
rnacentral:rRNA from 1 species